rnacentral:sRNA from 1 species
UGCAAGUGUUUAUUUAAUCCUUUAAUAACCCUGGGAGAUAGACAUUACUUAUUAAAUCUCCGUUUUAUAGAUAAGGAAGCUGACACUUAGAGAGGUUAAGUAAUAACUGGUUAAGUUGGAUUUUGAAUCCUAGUUUCUCUGAUUCCAGAGUUUGGACUCUUAACCACCAUAAUCUUUUGCCUGAAUAUAUUUACUUGUUUUGGGUAGUCAUUUUUUUAGGAUAUGGGAGAGAAAGUCUUUAAAACAUUUUUCCCUCCUUUUACUGAGGUACACUGAAAGCCAUUCUGAUGAUGAUUCAAGUAUGGAAGACUACCCAGAUCCACAGUCAGCAAAUCACAUGAACAGUUCCCUGCUGUCUUUAUAUCGGAAAGGAAAUCCUGAUUCUGUUUCAAAUACUCCUGAGAUGGAGCAAAGAGAAACCACCUCUUCAACACCACGGAUAAGUUCCAAAACAGGCUCCAUUCCCUUGAAGACCCCUGCCAAAGAUUCUGAGGGAGGAUGGUUUAUUGACAAAACCCCAAGUGGAAAGAAAGAAAGUUUUUUCUUGGACCUGUCAGAUGAGAAAAGUAAUCCUAAGAAGC